AUGGUUCAGGCCGGAUUGGCUCAGCCGGCGCCGAGCCCGGCUGCGGCCGGGGCGGUGCACGUCGCGCUCAAGAUCCCCUCCGGCGGCGGGCCGUAUGCACGGGCCAAGCACUACCAGCUUGUGGAGAAGGACUUGGACGUGUCGAUCGCGUGGUUCUGGAAGGCGAUCGAGACGGGGGACAAGGUGGACAGCGCGCUCAAGGACAUGGCGGUGGUGAUGAAGCAGCGCGGCUACCUGGACGACGCCGUGGACGCCAUCCGGUCGCUGCGCCACCUCUGCCCGGGGAAGCAGUCGCAGGAGUCCCUGGACAACAUCCUGCUCGACCUCUACAAGGCCAGCGGGCGCACCAAGGAGGAGAUCGAGCUGCUCAAGCACAAGCUCCGGCGGAUCUACCACGGCCAGGCCUUCCCCGCCGGCAAGGCCACCAAGCGCGCGCGCUCCCACGGCCGCAAGAUCCACGUCUCCGUCCAGCAGGAGACGUCCCGGGUGCUGGGCAACCUCGCGUGGGCCUACAUGCAGCAGCGCAACUUCAUGGCGGCCGAGGCCGUGUACCGCAAGGCGCAGAUGGUGGAGCCCGACGCCAACAAGGCCUGCAACCUCGCGCUGUGCCUCAUGGAGCAAGGGCGGCUGGGGGACGCCGAGGGGGUGCUCGCCGAUGUGGUCGCCGGCGCGUUCCGCGACGGGAGGGAGAGGGAGCACGGCGGCGGGAAGGUCGUGAGGAAGGCGGAGGAGCUGCUGGAGCGGAUCAGGGCGGAGACUGGCGGCGGCGGCGAGAAGGAGGCCGGGGAGGAGGACGGCGCCGAGGCCGACGAGAUGGCGGAGCUGCUGGACAUGGUGGCCAGGCAGUGGGCCGCGCCGUACAGGAAGAGCCACCGGAGGCUGCCCGUGUUCGAGGAGAUCACACCCUUCGGCAGGGAGCAGAUGGCUUGCUAG
rnacentral:rRNA from 1 species